rnacentral:rRNA from 1 species
ANGCGCGNCCUAUCAUGCNAGUCGAGCGAAUGAUGAGGAGCUUGCUCCUCUGAUUUAGCGGCGGACGGGUGAGUAACACGUGGGUAAUCUGCCUGUAAGACGGGGAUAACUCCGGGAAACCGGGGCUAAUACCGGAUAACAAGAGAAGAUGCAUAUCUUCUUUUUGAAAGUCGGUUUCGGCUGACACUUACAGAUGAGCCCGCGGCGCAUUAGCUAGUUGGUGAGGUAACGGCUCACCAAGGCGACGAUGCGUAGCCGACCUGAGAGGGUGAUCGGCCACACUGGGACUGAGACACGGCCCAGACUCCUACGGGAGGCAGCAGA